rnacentral:sRNA from 1 species
GCCAAAGCCUAAGCCUAAGCCUAAGCCUAAGCCUAAGUCUAAGCCUAAGCCUAAGCCUAAA